rnacentral:rRNA from 1 species
CAGUCGAGCGAGCUUGCCUAGAUGAUUUUAGUGCUUGCACUAAAUGAAACUAGAUACAAGCGAGCGGCGGACGGGUGAGUAACACGUGGGUAACCUGCCCAAGAGACUGGGAUAACACCUGGAAACAGAUGCUAAUACCGGAUAACAACACUAGACGCAUGUCUAGAGUUUGAAAGAUGGUUCUGCUAUCACUCUUGGAUGGACCUGCGGUGCAUUAGCUAGUUGGUAAGGUAACGGCUUACCAAGGCAAUGAUGCAUAGCCGAGUUGAGAGACUGAUCGGCCACAUUGGGACUGAGACACGGCCCAAACUCCUACGGGAGGCAGCAGUAGGGAAUCUUCCACAAUGGACGAAAGUCUGAUGGAGCAACGCCGCGUGAGUGAAGAAGGGUUUCGGCUCGUAAAGCUCUGUUGGUAGUGAAGAAAGAUAGAGGUAGUAACUGGCCUUUAUUUGACGGUAAUUACUUAGAAAGUCACGGCUAACUACGUGCCAGCAGCCGCGGUAAUACGUAGGUGGCAAGCGUUGUCCGGAUUUAUUGGGCGUAAAGCGAGUGCAGGCGGUUCAAUAAGUCUGAUGUGAAAGCCUUCGGCUCAACCGGAGAAUUGCAUCAGAAACUGUUGAACUUGAGUGCAGAAGAGGAGAGUGGAACUCCAUGUGUAGCGGUGGAAUGCGUAGAUAUAUGGAAGAACACCAGUGGCGAAGGCGGCUCUCUGGUCUGCAACUGACGCUGAGGCUCGAAAGCAUGGGUAGCGAACAGGAUUAGAUACCCUGGUAGUCCAUGCCGUAAACGAUGAGUGCUAAGUGUUG